GAGAGCCGUAUACAUCGAGAGGUGUACGUACGGUUCGGGGGCAGGCUCUCGAAAACCUGUCGUAGCAAUACGACAAGGCGUCGAGUGCCGAGCCUAC
rnacentral:ncRNA from 1 species